rnacentral:rRNA from 1 species
GAACGCCUCCCACUCCUUUGUCUCACCUUUGGAUAUCUUUUCUUCCCCACUCUCCUUCCACCCGGCCUGAAUCAGGCUCACCUUAUCCAUUGAGCAGCUCACAGCACACACUCGCACGGGAUGGAGGGGGGAAAGAGGGUAGGUGCGGCAGCUCGUCGACGGCGGCCGCGGCGGCUCCGUGCAGGGAGGCAGAGGCCCGGCGACGCCAUGGACGCGCGGCUGCGACGGGGGGCGACGCCGUGGGAGUCCUCCCCGAGGGCGUUCUCCCGUCGGCGAGUGGGGGUCUCGCCCUGCAAGGGAUCUCGACGCGGUUGGAGGUGUGGACGGUGUAGAUGUUGCUCACGUAGGCGAGCUCAUGCCGGUGGCUGCCGCGGCGGCAUGCCCGGAGACCGCGGCGGAGGUCUCCUCCGGGCGGCUGACCCGGCAGGGGCUGCCGUGGCGGCGCGCUCAAGCGCUCGUGCUUGGGGCGGCUUUGGCGACGCUUGAGGAGCUGGACAAUUGCAGAGUGCAGGUGGUCGUCCGGGGAGCGCGCGCCGUCAGCGCUGGCGGAGAGGAGCGGCGGGAAGACGACGCGUCCGACGGCGCAUCUGCGACGUGAGGCUUGGGUUGCCGGUAAGGCCGCGGCUGCGCGUGCGGCAUCCUCCAGGCGGCGCUGAACAGGGCAGGUGUGGGUGAACGAGGAGGCCGCCUUCGUCCCGGCGAGAUCCAGUGUCCCCGCAGCCGCCGUACGUUGGAGCGCUGUGGCAGCUCGCCGGCCAGGGAUGGCUUGCGCCGAUGCUAGGCGGCGUCGCUGGUCUCCAUGCCCGACGGCCAGAGAUGGCUCGCGCGGUGCUCUACGCAUCGAUGGUCUCCAUGCCCGGUGCCAGGUUGGCCCAGCUCGGCGUGCCCCUAUGGCUGCAUUCCUAUUCUGCAACACUACCAGCAAAAGGAGCAAGCCUGGGGCGUUCAACAAUUGUUACUUCAUCCCCUCUCCAUGCUUCGACCCGCCAAAUCCCAUCAGGAAACAUUUUUUCAAAGUGAGCAGUGCUUUCAACCCCUAUGUCAUUCCCUCUCAUUGAUUUAUUUGAUCAUGCCGUGCAUGAAUGCCUGUUAAGAACAUUCACGAGAUGCCUGUUUAGAACAUUCACGUAAUGCCGAGUGAGCAUACCCCCUCUCUUCAUGUUGCUACUGAUGGAUGCGUAUUGGCCAUUGGCCCAUGAAUCAACCAUUUUACUUUCCGAUUCAACGAAUUCUUAAGAUGCAAUUGUUUCAUGGGCACUUUCACACAUUUUUUCUGAUGUUAUAUAGCGACGAUUUUUGUUGCUGGGAUGGCAAGUUUUACACAAGUUCACAAUCACCAAAAUUUGCAUGGCAAUUUAGCUCGUUUUUUGCCAUGAGCAUGGGAUUUGUUAAGUAUUUUUUUUAGAUAAUUUCCCAUGAUGAUAGACUUGUUAAGUAAUUCAAAUGUAAUCUAGCCGUGCACAUAGGUCAUGGCAAACAAGUUCAGAACCAAUCCAGUUGUGUUGUGCACAUAGGCCAUUGCAUUUUUUUUAAUAUUCAUAUGCCAUGGCAUUUUGUUUUCAUAUUUUUUUGUGAUUUUUUACAUACACGGCAAAUUUAUCAUAAAGAACAUGGAAAAUUUUAAUUUAUAUAUGAUGGCAAUUUUUACUCUAUAUUUUGACAUGGCAAAAUUUAAACUAUUAUUCCAUGGUAAUUUUUUUACAUUGGUAUUCUUGUGAGCGUUUUUGCUAUACUCAUUUUGAUAAACCAUGCCAAUUCGUUGUAUUGAUAUUAUAAUUGCCAUGUCAACUAUUUCCUUAAAAUGAAAGAUGGUAGCUAUAAAAAGAGUAGAAUUUGCCAUCCCCCAUAAACUACAUUUUCCAUGCCUCAUGAACUUAAGAUGCCAUGUUCUGUUAGAAUUAUUAUUUUUACAUACACGACAAUUUUGAUAAAAAUCCCACAUCAAUUUUGAAUAUGCAUUUUUUCCACGGCAAUUUUGAAUAUACGUUUUUGCCAUGGCAAAUUUGAUCAUCCUUUUUUGCCAUCCCCCAUAUACUGCAAUUGCUCUAUAUGACAUUUUCAUGUGAUUUGCUAUAGUACUUUUUAAUCUAAAAACAUGGCAAACUUUCCAUGGCAACUUUGCCAUGUUCAAAAAACAUGUCAAAGUUAUAAAUGUUUAAAAACAUGGCAACUUAAUAUGUUCAACACCAGGGCAAAUUUGGUUUAUUGAUCAUGGCAAAUUUUAGUUUAUUGGUUCAUGGAAAAUUUAGUUUCUUGAUCAUGGCAAUUUUAGUUCUCAAAUCAUGGCAACUUAGUUUACAUGAUUUUUUCUGCCAUGGCAAUUUUCAAUACGAAUCUGCCAUGGCAAUUUUUCUUGUUCAUGGCAAAUUUAAUUUACAUGAAUUUCGUCGUGGCAAGUUUUGAUAUGAAUCUGCCAUGGAAUUUUUCUUGUUCAUACUUGAUUUUCAACUUUGUGUUUUUUUCACACACGGCAAAUUCAUCAUUCAAGCACACGGCAAUUCUUGAUACGAAUUUGCCAUGGCAAGUUUUGUUAGGAAUCUGUCGUGGCAAUUUUCUUGUUCAUCUUUUUUUGAUUUUCAACUUUAUGUGUUUUUUACACACACGACAAAUUCAUCAUACAAAACACGACAAUUCUUGAUACAAAUCUGCCAUGCCAAGUUUUCAUACAAAUUUGGUUUAUUGAUCAUGGCAAAUUUUAGUUUAUUGGUUCAUGUCAAAUUUAGUUUACAAUUCGUGGCAAAUUUAGUUUAUUGAUCAUGGCAAAUUUAGUUCUCAAAUCAUGGCAAUUUAGUUUACAUGUUUUUUUUUUCUUUUGCCGUGGCAAGUUUAAAUAUGAAUUUGCCAUGGCAAUUUUUCUUGUUCAUGGCAAAUUUAGUUUACGUGAAUUUCGCCGUGGCAAGUUUUGAUGCGAAUUUGCCAUGGCAAGUUUCUUGUUCAUAUUUGAAUUUCCAACUUUUUGUGUUCUUCACACACGAUAAAUUCAUCAUACAAAACACGCAAUUCUUUGAUACCAAUCUGCCAUGGCAAAUCUCUUUGUUCAUACUUGAUUUUCAAUUUUUUGUGUUUUUUCUCUCACACGACAAAAUUAUCCUUCAAAACACGGCAAUUUUAAUUAAAUUUCAUGGCAAUUUUAAUUUAAAAUGCCAUUGCAUUUUUUAUCUUUUAUUUGUCAUGUCAAUUUUGUGUGUUCUUUUCACAUGAUUUUUUUUACUAUUUGUGUUUUUUCACAUGGCAACAUUGAUUUUUUUUGUCAUGGCAGAUUUGCCAUAUUUCAUUGGGGGAUUAAAUAUGUGUUUAUAAACCCUUGCCAUCGUUAAAAAAACAAUGUAAUGGCAAAUAGUUUGGUCAAACUCAAAUGGCAAAUUUUCUGCUAUUUUCAAAGCUGAUGGCAUUUUUUAGUAUCUGAGCAAAAUCUAGGCUUUUAUUUGUCAAAGAAAGAAAACAAAAUCUGGGCCUUUUCAUUCAAUUCAUUCUUAGUGGGCUUUUUGUUCCUUUUUUCACAGGGAAAAGGGUCUCUGAUGGACGCGUGCGGGCUGGGGGUUUCCCUGGCGAACGAAUUCAUGCAAGGGAUCGACCCCCUCCUACUGAACGAGUCGUGUGGGGUAGGGUGGUCCUCCCGCCACACGUGUGGGCAGUUUUAAUAUUCGCCCACACAGAAUCGUGUGGGAUGCAAUUGGAUAUGCCACACGGUUGUGUGGGCGGGUGUCUAUUGUGUCACACGUGUGGCAGUUAUCGGCGUCCAAAAAAAUGUAGUCUAUUGUGUCACACGUGUGGCAGUUAUCGGCGUCAAAAAAAUGUAAUAAAAAGAGUGUUCUCUUUUUUCCUCAAAAAAGAAGAGUGUUGUUUUCUUUAGAGUUAACUUUGCGGACCAAUCGAGGCUUAUCAAAGGUCGAAAUAUCACUGAAAAAUUUCAUCCUUGAAGCAGUUGUGCAAUCCUGUCAUAAAAGGAAAGGCCUUGCCUUAGUUCUUAACUAGACUUCAGAAAAGCUUUUGAUUCCAUCUUGUGGGAGAGUUUGUACUCCCUUCGGUCCUUUUUACUCUGUAUAUAAGAAUUGUCUGAAGUCAAACUUCGUAAAGUUUGACCAUAUUUAUAUGAAAAAAUAUUAACAUCUAUCAUGCAAAAGUUAUACAAUAUGAAACUUUAAGUCAUGACUCAUCUACC